AGUAAAGUGGUCUGAACAAUUGCUACAUAGUUUGUUCUGAGUAAUAAGGUUUAAUUGCUGCUUUUCCCUAUUCUUACCACUGUUGUUCAUUAUGAUUGCAAGUUACCACAUUUCCAGGAAAUAGAUUGAAAGGCCUCUGGAUUAGCAUGGGAGAGCUGGUGAAUUCUGAGGAACACCUGGGACAUGGAAGAGCAUUUCAUAUGGUGGAGAGUAGAAAAAAAGGUGGUGUUAAGGUUUCAUCUACUGUUUUACUCCACCAAAAGAUAUUUUUCUACAUCUUUACAUGGCAGUAUAUUCUAUGGCAUUCUUCCACAGGAGGAAGAAAAUAGUGACUUUUCAGGCCAAAAAAAUGAAAAAGUUGUCUCUUAACUAAUUUUUAUUCCUGCAAACAAACAAAAGCAUUCAACAGAGAGCUUGGCUUUACCAAGAGUGAAGUGCACUUUAGUCUACAGGUGUAAUUAUUUCAAUUUCUAGGAAAAAAUACUUAAAAUAUUUUACUUUCUUAAACUAAAGUGAAAAUGCAUAGCUUCUGAUUAGCCAUGCUGUUAGCAAUGUAGCAGUUUACAUCUGAACACCAUGACACCAUCGACUCAACCCAUUUCCAUGAAUGUAUUUCCAACUGUUGUGAUUAAACAGCAUACAUUCAGAUUAAACAGACACAUAGCUCAGGUGAGAGAGACCUUCAAUGAAUUUUGAUACUGUGGGAUAUAAACUAGAUAAGAUUUGUAGAAAAUGUGAUACCUUUCAUUAGAUCAACUGAUAGAAAUUGAAAAAAUAAAGUUUUUGACUUGACUGACAUCAUUAAUGAGAACUGAGAAGGAGAAAAACCCAAACUAAAUACAAGUGGCAUGGUAUUUGGUUUUGUAUAAUAAAAUUAUUUUAAUCACUUAAACACUGGUGAGAAAACACCUGCUAAAAUGAAUGUUCAGAGGAUGAAUCAGCAAGAAAACUGUCAGCUUUACAAAUAAUGUUGCUACUGUCUCCAUGAAGAAUGUAGUUCCAGGAUUGUUUUUUAAACAUGACUUGGAGGUCCCUUUUUAGUCCCUGCUCUGAGAUGGACUAUUUUUUUUUUUUUUAAUGUAUGAAAUAAUUACUAUGAAAUAAUUAUUCUCCUCCCCUUUGCUGUGUUUUGUCUGUGAUCUGUUAUGUGUGUCAAUUCAUUGUAGUGAAUAACAGUUGAUGGUUCCAUGCAUGUAAUUUUCAUAGGGAUGUGUGAUACUUAGUGUAAUAAAUUUAAAGAGUAUCAAGAAAACACAUGGAAAUUAAUUAUUUUGGUCACUGAUAUCAAUUAUAUUAAAUAUGUGAGUAUCCAUGAAGUUUACUUUGCUGUGCCAGCAAGGUUUCACACUAAUGAGUGUUAGUAUA